UGUUUCCCAUAUUAUCUCAUUUUGGGUCUCUAUAGAUUGAAAUAGAUUUAGGUUACAGAUUUAGGUUCGCGAAAUAACAAAUGUGUUUGUUCUUGCACUGAAUACAGAUAUCGAAACUGCUCGGUAAAUCUGAUAACACAAUGUUUAAAGGACCUGAGCAUUAUUAAUAACUCCAAAUGCGGCUGAGGCCACUACAUAUCGCUGGGCGACGUUGAGAGGUGGAGAAUAGCCAUCGGCGUAAGAUGUAUCCUCAAACAGAACGGAGUAGUCAUCCUGGGGCUGGAAAAGAAGUGAGAUGUGUCAAAUUGUAUGGAAAUUAUUCUUCUACUCAUUUAUAAUUGGUCUUGUGAUGCCAUAAAACCCAUAAUAAAGAAAUAUUCUAACAGACUAACAACAUGAAUCCCAUGAGGGUUUAGAGAAGCAUCUUUACAAAUAGUGAUAGCAUCUUCAACAUAAGCAUCUCUUAUCCUACAUUUCAAUCAGUCGUUUAACUCUUUUCAUUCUUGUUUCCGCUCACCCGAUGUGGCGGCGUGUGGAUCAGAGCUCUGUAAAAGCAAGUGGUCUGUGGAUAGAGGGCUAGCACCAGCUGAUCUUUACUGAACAGAGCCUCCGGGUCAGUCUCUGGGUUUGCUUUCCACUGUGGGAGAGGAAUGAUUCUUCUCCGACUCAACGUGUGUCUCCUGAAUAAAAGAGAAUAUGAAACAGUGAAAAAAUGAGGAACAACAAACAGGUCGCAGUUUGUUUUAAAGCACUCCUGGAAUUAUACUUCUGUUCAAAAGAUUGGGGAUGGUUGAAUUUUUUUAUGUUUUUGAAAAAAAAAAAAAAAAAAAAAAAAAGUCUCAAGUUUCACCAAGGCCAUUUCAGUAAAACGGUAAUAAUGUGAAGUAUUAUUACAAUUUAAAAUGUAACUUAUUCCUGUGAUGCAAAGCUGAUUUUUCAGCAUCAUUACUCCAGUCUUCAGUGUCACAUGAUCCUUCAGAAAUCAUUCUAAUAUGCUGAUUUGAUGCUCAAAAACAAAAAAAUUCUUAUUAUUAUCAAUGUUGAAAACAGAUGUGUGGCUUAAUUUUUUUUUGUGGAGAUCAUAGUGCAUUUUUUAGGACUCUUAGAUGAAUAGAAAGUUCAAAAAGAGCAGCAUUUAUUUGAAAUAGAAGUCUUUUGUAAAUAAAAUGUCUCUGCUGUUACUUUUGAUAAUUAAUGUGUAUUUGCUGAAUAAAAAAAAACUUUUGAACAGUAAUGUAUCAAUUUAGAUGUGGGUGAAAAUUAUUGAAAAAUGGCAUUGUACUUACUCUUUACCCUCUUCAUCAAUGUCAUCCACUUCAUACCUGAUAAAAGAUAACAUUAUGAUGUUACAUUAUCAUUUCACACAAUCAUGUUUUAAAGCUACAGGUGAAUAUAAAUAAACAGAUCAACUGGAGAUCAA